CUUCCAGAAGUUUACAUUUAGGUCUGUAAAAAAGCACAACCUGCAGAGCUGUGUGUGUGUGUGUGUGUGCUUGUGUGUGUGUGUGUGUGUGUCUGUGCAUGUGAAACUCAUCAAACUUCUUUAAUAACUCUGAAUAUGACUUGUUUGGGCAUAUUUUCAAUGGAUGGCUAAUUUUGUGCCAGAAUUCAAAUGGAAAUUUAAACCAAAAGAGCUUGCAGAUAAAUAGCAGAGAUUGCUUGCUUUUCACCCCAUUUCUUCUGGUGGUAACUUUUCAAUUGUGAUUUUUUUUUUUUAACCCUCCAUAUUUUUUUUUUGCCAGACUUUGAUUUCUAAAGCUUUAUUUUUAGUCUUUGUAAGGCACAGCAUUGAUUGAGCAUGCUGUGUUCUAAUUUUGGUAGCAAUUUUGUAGGUUAGCUCAGUUUCAUAGAAAUUAGAAAGCUGGGGCUCAUGGAAGUGACUUAUUUUAUCCACGUAGCAGGGGGUGGCAGAGUGGAUGACGCCAGGGUCUGUGCUUCUUCAUCUCAAGGCUGGUGCUGUUUCCUUGGUGGGGCUCCAGGUCAAGUGUGGUCUGCAUUAAGGUCCUCCCUGGUGGAUGCUUGUGAAUGACCUGGGUGUGCACAGAGCAGAGUGGGGCUCCAGAGCCUGUACAUGUUGCUGGGUGUGCAGUAAACACACAGAAAACAGUAUAUGCCCACCCUGCUCGUGAAGAGGGAGUUGCUGAGUCUACACUCUGUGCCAUCUACCAUGCAAUUCACCACAGUAAUUUCGAAUAGCUUCUUGGGUCUUGCAUCAUUUGCGAAAGUGAAGCAAACCUUCCUCUACUGUACAGAGUGUCCAGAAAUAGAGCUCAUCAGAGUAACCCAGUUGACAUAAUGAGACUGUAAGCACACCAAGGGGAGUUUCUGGACGACUAGAGGACAUCUGAGGAGCACGGCUAAGCCCCAAACCUUCCUUAGGACUACUGUGAACCCCUAUACUUCUGCAGCUACAGUUCCAAAUUUCUGGGCUCCGUCCCAACAAAACGUCUAGAAAAAUUUGCUCUAUUUUCGAUCCUCGUUUUUUUUUUUUUUUUUUUUUUUUUUUCUCAUUUCAGAACAGUGAUGGCUUUUCCAGGUAAAGCAUCUUGUUACCUUAUAAGUUUCAUUAAAUAGAUGGCCUUUGAACUAGACCUUGCAGAAUGGGUAAAAUUUAUUUUGGAAAAGAAGUGAAAGAGGGCUAUCAGAGAGUGUUUUCAUGAAUGUAUAAGCCUGGAAUCUGGAUGUCUUUGAUAAGGAGCGAUAAAAGGGUACAUUUGGGUGUGGAUUAAUUCACUUACUCAGUAUAUACAUAUAUAUAGAAACCACAAUUAGAUACGGGAAAUAUAGCAAAGGAUUAGACCUGGUCCAGCUCUCAUGAUGUUCAGAGACAGUGAUGGUUCCGGGGCAUAGAGACGCAGUGGACAUCAAGAGGUGGGUUCAGAAGAAAGAGUGGGGGAAAAACUGUAAUUGCAAUGUAUACAUGUAAGGAUAACCUGACCCCCUUGCUGUACAGUGGGAAAAUAAAAAAAAAAUAAAUAAAUAAAUAAAUAAAUAA
rnacentral:lncRNA from 1 species